rnacentral:lncRNA from 1 species
AACGUCAUCGCUCAAGAGUGGAAAAAACACCCUCAAAGAUUCUGCAUUCAUGGCCUCAUCACCAUUACCCACCAGCCAAAAACUAAUCAAAUCAACGAGCGGCUGUUCAAACCCUCCAACCCAUCAAAAUUUUGAUCAAACACUAUAACAGACAUUUAUGUAACCUAAAACAGAGUCCACUAAACUUUUGAUUUCUCCACAUAUUUUCCUCUCUUUCUUGGACCCCAACUAAAAGCUCUUCAAAUCAAGGAAGGGGGGGUUUGGGUUGGGCUCGGCGGCGGUUGCCUUCCGGAUGUGCGGUCGUCGGGAAUCAACGGGCAAGAGGCCACGAUUUGGAGAUCUAGGGUAUUGGUGGCGAAGGUGGUGGUGGUGCCCUCGUUUUCUCAUUCCCAACCACCGCCGCCACUGGUGCCGAUGAGGAAUGGAUGGUGGAGGUGGCGGUUGAGUGGAGGUGAAAAGGGGGAGGCGUUCAGAUCUGGAAGGGGUUGAUGUCGGAGAGGUGUUCCUCGCCGGAGAAGCAGGGGGCGGCUCCAAAUCUGGAAGGGUGGAAGUGGCAGAGCUGUCACCGGAAAUCAAGGGAAAGAGGUGGUGGAUUCAGGGAUCUAGGGUGUGUGCGACUGCGAUGACAGUGCGCGACGGUAGUGUUUGAUUUGUGCGUGUGUUACAGAGGGAGGAUGAGAGGCGAGAGAAGGGAGAAGCGACAAGGUGGUUCUUGGAAAGCCGGCAACGCCGGUGAGGAAGAAGGAGGUGGCGCCUCC